ensembl:lncRNA
AUGUGUCAAACAGGAUUAGCUUUUCCACAGUGUCUGCAGGCUUCCCCUCUUCCCGCCCAGCCUUGGCCUCCCACCUCCAGCCCACACUUCUGUCUUCCAUCCUCAACCACCAGCUCCUUCAGAAGCCCAACACAAAUCUUGUGUAUAGAAUGUAGCUCCCUCACUGUAGGGCAGGUGGUAAUGUGCGCUUGGUUGAAAAGAAGCCUUUCAGGCUCAUUGCUUUGGAAGAAUAGGCGGGUGUCUGCUCUGCAGCUUUCCUUUUUGAUAGGAAGGGAUAAUCCCUUCUAUUUGACGGCUGUGUCAAAGCUGCAGAGAGAAAGGGAUCAGGGUUCUCCCAUGAUACAGAGGAGGGAAAAAAGUCAGAACAGCUUUCCUGUGAUUCAUCUACCUCUGUUUCCCUCCACAACCAUUUAGUGACUGCUGAAGAAUGGGGAACAUUGGCAAAGUAUGUAUAUGUGUGCUUAUAACAAGAUGCGCCAUAAUUACACCAUCCUGAAAGACUUGGAGGAGGUUCAGGAAAAUACCCUUGUAAUUUUCCAGUGCCCCCUACUCCUCUCCUGCUAAAUAACCAUGGAGGGGAGGCUCCACAAGUAAAGGUGACUGCUAGUGGGAAGCUUAAGUUGUUGCAUGGGGAUGGUAGAAAAAGACAUUUUAUAUGGAGGUGUGACUUUCAAUUCUACCCACCUAUGUUACUACCAGAAUGGUAGCUAUAAAUUCUUUAAAAUAAUAGGCGUUCCAGGUCUCUUCAAAUAUUAUCGGGAGCCACAUUUAUCCUGUGGACCAUACUGCCCCACACCUGCUAUAUUACCUCACAUGAAGUGUUUCACGCAUAUAUUAUAUAAGAUGUGAUGGUAAAUGUUCUGCACUGUUUCAACUGCAGGUGGGAGAUCAUAUUUUGAAAUACCUCCAUGCUGGAUGCUAAAGAAAACUAACAGAAAGAAAAUUCACUCAAGUGGUGCAAGAAGAGAGUUCUAGGGAUAUCAUGGAUUUGCCAAAACAAAAUUAAAUGAAUUGGAGACCAGUUCAAUUCCCAACUCUCACUAGAAACCGUUGACUAAGCUGUGGUUCCCAUACUUCAGGCAUACCAUGAGAUGGCUGGCAUGACUCACUGAAAAAUACAAGAAUGCCCCAUAACAUUGUAGGAAGAAUCGGCUUAGAAUCUAUAAGACAUGAGCUGGUGAGGACUGAAGGUCUUUGCAGUCUCCCAUUCAUAAGUCUGCCAUGACUCUAAGUUGGUGGGAAAUAACAACAGUACCAUUUCCUGCCUCUUUCCUUUUUUUGCCCUUUUAUGGUUUUAAUUAAACAUGCUGUGGAAUGGAAUAUUGGGCAUUCAAGCUCUUUGAAGGCCAGUUCACAUGUUCCUCUGAGCACCAUUUGUUGGGACAUGAAGACAGCAGGUGCCUAGAAUUCCACUCUACAGCAAACAAAAGAAAAAAGAAAUAAGAAAGGAGCAGGGGAAGAAGAAUUUCAAAACAUAUGGGGCGGAAUCACUGUCUGCAAGCACCACAUCACUGUCACCUGCUGAAGAAGAGUAAAUCUAUCAUGCCUGGUCCAUUUUGGUUUCCAUACAAAAAUUGGCUGAAUCUACAUGAGGAUAAAGUUCCAGCUUCACUGUGUAUACCCCUCCCUAAUUUGAUCCCUUUAAUGCUACAUUUUACUGCUAUGUUUUACUAUGUAUCUUUUAUAGAAGUACAUUUUAAUAUGUAUAUGAAUAUAAUUUUAUAACGUUUAUGUUUUACUUAUGCUGUAACCCGUCUCGAGCCACAAGGAGAGCUGCCUAAAAAAUAAAUUAUUAUUAUUAUUAUUAUUAUUAUUGACACAACGAUGUUGUAUGACACAGCAAACAAGAUAGACAUGCUGGAUUUCGUUUCACAAAACCACAAGUCGAACACUUCCCAAGUGUCUAGGACUGUGUGAUGUAUUUUCGGAUGAUGCGUGCAGAUCCCAGCAGGGUGGCCUUUUGCAGUUGGCAGAUCGUAAUUUUGUCAAUGUCUAUUGUUUCCAAAUGCCGGCUGAGAUCUUUUGGCACGGCACCCAAUGUGCCCAUCACCACCGGGACCACCUGCACUGGUUUCUGCCAGAGUCUUUGAAGUUCAAUCUUGAGGUCCUGAUAGCGGCUGAGUUUUUCCUGUUGUUUUUCAUCAAUGCGACUGUCACCUGGGAUGGCGACAUCAAUUAUCCAAACCUUGUUCUUUUCCACAACUGUGAUAUCUGGUGUGUUGUGUUCCAGAACUUUGUCAGUCUGGAUUCGGAAGUCCCAUAGUAUCUUUGCGUGUUCAUUAUUAUAUACAUCUAUUUUAAUCCAAACUGAAAUCAGUUUAAAAAGUCACAAAAGAUCCUCAUUACACAGCCACAUCAGUGCAAGGGAGUGUUUCUACCAUGUUCCCAUGUUGACCAUAUCAGUUUACAUUCUGUCACAUGAUUGCAACAGUUGAUUUUUAAAAAGUUCUGCCAUGCAUAUGCAUAAUUUGCUAAAUCAAAUAGCCUUCCUCUCUUUCUCCAUCAUUCUGAUUGCAUGAGCUUCUAUAAAGUGAGAGCAGGGAAGGUGAAAUGUUGAUCUACAAUUGUGUGAAAUGCAUGAUUGUGAGGUUUACAUACAAACACCAAAGUCAAAGAAAAGGAGAAGGCAGCACCACAUUUCUGGAUGGGGAUAAAAACAAGGGGGCUACUUGGAAUGAGACAAAGUAUGUACUUACAGGAAUGGGAUGAAAGCAAGGCUGCAUUAUUUAGCUUGUGUAGAUUCUAGGCAUGUCCGAUCAAUGAAAAAAAUGUUUCAAUUCUCGUUUCUAAAGUAGGGGGCGCUGGCGCUUCAAUAUAGAAAGUAUUUCCGAUUUUUUCACCCAAAAAUUUUGGAUAUUUCCAAAAAUUCGUAAUGAUUCUAAAUGUUUCUAAAAUGGUGGACACACAUGCGCAAUCGCCCAAAAAAAAAAAAAAGGAACCCGGGGGGGGGGGGGACUUUUACAGGGCUCUCCCGCCCUCAUUUCUUGAGCUAUCCUCAUCAAAUUUGCAAUGCCCUUGCAAGUUGUGCAAAGAUACUUUGAAAACUAGAAAUUCCCUUGCUAUAUUUGUAAGCAAGAAGGAAACUGGAAAUCAAUGGUGUCUCUGACUAUGUGAUCCUACAAGCCUCAACUCAAUGCCUUCAAUUAGAAAUGGACCAGUGACCACCACGCCAAGCAAUGCCCUGGCAAGGAGUGCAAAGAGACUUUGAAAACUAGAAAUUCCCUUGCUAAGAGAAGGAACCAGCAACAAAACCCUAACCCUUUCUCCAAACUCCUCUGUGGGAACAGCCAGACCGGGCCCCUUCACCCUCUCUCUCCCUCAAGAAGCUUGCUCGCUCUCCGUUUGCAGACCACCACCCUCUCUGCACAAAACCCAGCCCAGAAUGGCUUGCCCGGGCUACACAACGGGCUUUUGUGGCAAUCUUCCACAUGGACGCAGAGGACCCUAGCCCCCACCUUUGCGUCCAUCAUGGAAGCUUCUGAUUGGUCGGGGAGCGGCAGCCAUGUUAGGCUGCGCUAAGCUCCCAUUCUAGGUAGGUUGCAGAAACAAAAAAAAAAUUAAAAAAUAUUUUUUAAAAUAUAUUUUAAAAAAUUGGGGGGGAAAAAUUAACGAAAUAUUAAGAGACAAUUAGAGAAUGGGCCAACAAUGGUUCGAAUUACAUUGCUGGUUGCGCUGUGAGACAAUGUGUCGGAAUGCAUAUCAAAAAGCGAGAACAAUCCGA